CGUCGGCGAGGAUGCCGGGGUCGACCUGCUUCAGGUGCAGGUAGCCGAUGCGUUCGCCGUAGGUCUCGAUGAGUUCGACGCUGUCGCCGCCGC
rnacentral:tRNA from 1 species